UACGUAGGUGACAAGCGUUGUCCGGAUUUACUGGGCGUAAAGAGCGCGCAGGCGGUCGAUCAAGUCGAGUGUGAAAGCCCCCGGCUCAACUGGGGAGGGUCAUUCGAUACUGAUCGACUCGAAGGCAGGAGAGGGUAGUGGAAUUCCCGGUGUAGCGGUGAAAUGCGCAGAUAUCGGGAGGAACACCAAUUGCGGAGGCAGCUCGCUGGGACGGUACUGACGCUGAGACGCGAAAGCGUGGGGAGCAAACAGG
rnacentral:rRNA from 1 species